rnacentral:rRNA from 1 species
GGAAUAUUGGUCAAUGGACGAAAGUCUGAACCAGCCAUGCCGCGUGGAGGAUGAAGGUCCUCUGGAUUGUAAACUUCUUUUAUCUGGGACGAAAAAAGGCUUUUCUAAGUCGUCUGACGGUACCAGGUGAAUAAGCACCGGCUAACUCAGUGCCAGCAGCCGCGGUAAUCCUGAGGGUGCAAGCGUUAUCCGGAUUCACUGGGGUUAAAGGGUGCGUAGGUGGAUUGCCAAGUCCGUGGUGAAAUCUUCGAGCUUAACUCGGAAACUGCCGUGGAUACUGGUAGUCUUGAAUACCGUGGAGGUCAGCGGAAUAUGUCAUGUAGCGGUGAAAUGCUUAGAUAUGACAUAGAACACCAAUUGCGAAGGCAGCUGACUACGCGAAUAUUGACACUCAGGCACGAAAGCGUGGGGAUCAAAC